rnacentral:rRNA from 1 species
UACGGAGGGUGCAAGCGUUAUCCGGAUUUACUGGGUUUAAAGGGUGUGUAGGCGGAUCUUUAAGUCAGCGGUGAAAUCUCCGGGCUCAACCCGGAAACUGCCAUUGAUACUAUUGGUCUUGAAUAUUGUGGAGGUGGGCGGAACGGGUCAUGUAGCGGUGAAAUGCUUAGAGAUGACCCGGAACACCGAUUGCGAAGGCAGCCCACUACGCAAUGAUUGACGCUGAGGCACGAAAGCGUGGGGAGCAAACAGG